rnacentral:rRNA from 1 species
CGCACUAGUUCAGAGUUUGAUCCUGGCUCAGGAUGAACGCUAGCGAUAGGCUUAACACAUGCAAGUCGAGGGGCAGCAUAAGGGUAGCUUGCUACUCUGGUGGCGACCGGCGGAUGGGUGCGUAACGCGUAUGUAACUUGCCUCUGAGUGGGGGAUAACCCGGAGAAAUUCGGACUAAUACCGCAUAUUUUCUAUUGAUUGCAUGGUUGAUAGAAGAAAGAUUUAUUGCUCAGAGAUAGGCAUGCGUUCCAUUAGGUAGUUGGUGAGGUAACGGCUCACCAAGCCGACGAUGGAUAGGGGAGCUGAGAGGCUGAACCCCCACACUGGGACUGAGACACGGCCCAG